AGAGUUUGAUCAUGGCUCAGAUUGAACGCUGGCGGCAGGCCUAACACAUGCAAGUCGAACGGUAACAGGAAGAAGCUUGCUUCUUUGCUGACGAGUGGCGGACGGGUGAGUAAUGUCUGGGAAACUGCCUGAUGGAGGGGGAUAACUGCUGGAAACGGUAGCUAAUACCGCAUAACGUCGCAAGACCAAAGAGGGGGACCUUCGGGCCUCUUGCCAUCGGAUGUGCCCAGAUGGGAUUAGCUAGUAGGUGGGGUAACGGCUCACCUAGGCGACGAUCCCUAGCUGGUCUGAGAGGAUGACCAGCCACACUGGAACUGAGACACGGUCCAGACUCCUACGGGAGGCAGCAGUGGGGAAUAUUGCACAAUGGGCGCAAGCCUGAUGCAGCCAUGCCGCGUGUAUGAAGAAGGCCUUCGGGUUGUAAAGUACUUUCAGCGGGGAGGAAGGGAGUAAAGUUAAUACCUUUGCUCAUUGACGUUACCCGCAGAAGAAGCACCGGCUAACUCCGUGCCAGCAGCCGCGGUAAUACGGAGGGUGCAAGCGUUAAUCGGAAUUACUGGGGCGUAAAGCGCACGCAGGCGGUUUGUUAAGUCAGAUGUGAAAUCCCCGGGCUCAACCUGGGAACUGCAUCUGAUACUGGCAAGCUUGAGUCUCGUAGAGGGGGGUAGAAUUCCAGGUGUAGCGGUGAAAUGCGUAGAGAUCUGGAGGAAUACCGGUGGCGAAGGCGGCCCCCUGGACGAAGACUGACGCUCAGGUGCGAAAGCGUGGGGAGCAAACAGGAUUAGAUACCCUGGUAGUCCACGCCGUAAACGAUGUCGACUUGGAGGUUGUGCCCUUGAGGCGUGGCUUCCGGAGCUAACGCGUUAAGUCGACCGCCUGGGGAGUACGGCCGCAAGGUUAAAACUCAAAUGAAUUGACGGGGGCCCGCACAAGCGGUGGAGCAUGUGGUUUAAUUCGAUGCAACGCGAAGAACCUUACCUGGUCUUGACAUCCACGGAAGUUUUCAGAGAUGAGAAUGUGCCUUCGGGAACCGUGAGACAGGUGCUGCAUGGCUGUCGUCAGCUCGUGUUGUGAAAUGUUGGGUUAAGUCCCGCAACGAGCGCAACCCUUAUCCUUUGUUGCCAGCGGUCCGGCCGGGAACUCAAAGGAGACUGCCAGUGAUAAACUGGAGGAAGGUGGGGAUGACGUCAAGUCAUCAUGGCCCUUACGACCAGGGCUACACACGUGCUACAAUGGCGCAUACAAAGAGAAGCGACCUCGCGAGAGCAAGCGGACCUCAUAAAGUGCGUCGUAGUCCGGAUUGGAGUCUGCAACUCGACUCCAUGAAGUCGGAAUCGCUAGUAAUCGUGGAUCAGAAUGCCACGGUGAAUACGUUCCCGGGCCUUGUACACACCGCCCGUCACACCAUGGGAGUGGGUUGCAAAAGAAGUAGGUAGCUUAACCUUCGGGAGGGCGCUUACCACUUUGUGAUUCAUGACUGGGGUGAAGUCGUAACAAGGUAACCGUAGGGGAACCUGCGGUUGGAUCACCU
rnacentral:rRNA from 1 species